rnacentral:misc_RNA from 1 species
UGUGGGAGCUGGCUUGCCUGCGAUAGCGGUGUGUCAGUUGAUGCAGUUGGCACUGAUACACCGCUAUCGCAGGCAAGCCAGCUCCCACA